CUUAUGGAAAGCAUCAUGCUGCUUGGAGAUUGAGGCCUGAAUGUUGUCUCGCAGGUCUAAGGAGCAGAGUUUUUAGUUUUUCAUCCUCCUUGGUUUACUGCUUAUUAAUUGUCUUGUGAGGGUUUUUAGAUGCUUACUUCUACUUUCUUCUUUUAGACAAAUUGUAACUUCUCAAGCAGUGCCAAUAAAUGAGUGGCCAAUAUAGAAAUAUGUAAAAACAAAAAGUUAAAAACAUUGAAACCAAAGAAAUUUGAAUCAAAAUCUCUGAAUAACACCAAAAUACAACAGAACAGGCACUGAGAGGAAUGAAACCAUUUACAGAAACAAGUAAAGAAAAGUUAAAAAGCAGCAAAUUAAAAAGAAGAAAAGUUGAUCCCUUGAGUCAGAUAUAUGAAGAAACCAAAGACGAAAAGGAAACCUUAUCAAAAGAACAAAAAGUAAGUUAUACCACCUAAGAUAGGCAUUGAGAAAAAUAAAAUCUUCCGCCAUAAAAGAAAAGGUGCAAAAAAGCUUUAAGAAAAGAAAAAAAGAGUGAAAAAUAUCAAGAAACUAAAAAGACCAGAUACGGGAAAUGAAAACAGAGUUUAGCAAAAGAAUCCCGUGAUAGAAAACAGGAAUCAAGAAGGGGGGAAAAAAAAGCACGACAAAAGGUGAAAUAUUGCAGUAAAGAAAAAUCGAGUACCCCAGGAGGACAAAUAUCAAGAAUAUAGAAAAGGACAACAAUAUGAACAUUGUAAUGCAACAGGCAUCAAGAUUUCACCAAAACAAACUAUAAAGAAGAAGCCAAUGAACAGUGCAGAAGAUAAACCAGCGCACCACUUGAUAGGUAAUAUCAAGAAACAAAAAAAGUGGGUUGUCUACAUAGCACCACAGAACAAAAUGGGGCAUCAAGAAAAAUGAAACCUUUAGCAGAAGCAAGAGCGAAAGAAAUAGAAAAACAAAAGACAGAGGAAUCGGAAAGAUAAAGAAAAAUCCAUUGAGAAACCAAGAUAAGCAAAGCGCUUUCCUCGUAACAAGAUCCAACAACAAAGAAAAGGCUAAAAUUGGAAUGAAGGAAGAGGGAAGAAAACCACGAGAUAUGCAAAGAAAGAACACCAUCAACACGAAAGGUAAGAGUAAAAGAGAAACCUGAAAACCGGUAAUAAAGCAAAAGAGAAACAAAAAGAUUCAGUCAACGGCAGAAAAAUGAAAUUGUACAAGAAUUCAAACAGAGGAUCUCGAGAAAGGAGAGCUUUGUCAAUAGCAAAAAAUGGGUAUCAAGAAAUAUCUCAAG
rnacentral:lncRNA from 1 species